CCUACGGGCGGCAGCAGUGAGGAAUAUUGGUCAAUGGGCGCGAGCCUGAACCAGCCAAGUCGCGUGAAGGAUGACUGCCCUACGGGUUGUAAACUUCUUUUAUAAAGGAAUAAAGUGAGGCACGUGUGCCUUUUUGUAUGUACUUUAUGAAUAAAGAUCGGCUAACUCCGGGCCAGCAGCCGCGGUAAUACGGAGGAUCCGAGCGUUAUCCGGAUUUAUUGGGUUUAAAGGGAGCGUAGAUGGGUUGUUAAGUCAGUUGUGAAAUUUUGCGGCUCAACCGUAAAAUUGCAAUUGAUACUGGCAGUCUUGAGUACAGUAGAGGUAGGCGGAAUGCGUGGUGUAGCGGUGAAAUGCUUAGAUAUCACGAAGAACUCCGAUUGCGAAGGCAGCUUACUAAACUGCCACUGACGUUGAGGCUCGAAAGUGUGGGUAUCAAACAGGAUUAGAUACCCUAGUAGUC
rnacentral:rRNA from 1 species